rnacentral:rRNA from 1 species
GACGAACGCUGGCGGCGUGCCUAAUACAUGCCAGUAGAACGCUGAAGGAGGAGCUUGCUUCUCUGGAUGAGUUGCGAACGGGUGAGUAACGCGUAGGUAACCUGCCUGGUAGCGGGGGAUAACUAUUGGAAACGAUAGCUAAUACCGCAUAAGAGUAGAUGUUGCAUGACAUUUGCUUAAAAGGUGCAAUUGCAUCACUACCAGAUGGACCUGCGUUGUAUUAGCUAGUUGGUGGGGUAACGGCUCACCAAGGCGACGAUACAUAGCAGACCUGAGAGGGGGAUCGGCCACACUGGGACUGAGACACGGCCCAGACUCCUACGGGAGGCAGCAGUAGGGAAUCUUCGGCAAUGGACGGAAGUCUGACCGAGCAACGCCGCGGGAGUGAAGAAGGGUUUCGGAUCGUAAAGCUCUGUUGUAAGAGAAGAACGAGUGUGAGAGUGGAAAGUUCACACUGUGACGGUAUCUUACCAGAAAGGGACGGCUAACUACGUG